AGCAGCAUGGUGUAGUAGUUUGAGUGUUGGACUACAACUCUGGAGACCAGGGUUCAAUUCCCGUUAUUGUUG